AAAUUGAAGAGUUUGAUCAUGGCUCAGAUUGAACGCUGGCGGCAGGCCUAACACAUGCAAGUCGAGCGGUAGCACAGAGAGCUUGCUCUCGGGUGACGAGCGGCGGACGGGUGAGUAAUGUCUGGGAAACUGCCUGAUGGAGGGGGAUAACUACUGGAAUCGGUAGCUAAUACCGCAUAAUGUCGCAAGACCAAAGUGGGGGACCUUCGGGCCUCAUGCCAUCAGAUGUGCCCAGAUGGGAUUAGCUAGUAGG
rnacentral:rRNA from 1 species